CCUACGGGGGGCAGCAGUGAGGAAUAUUGGUCAAUGGGCGAGAGCCUGAACCAGCCAAGUCGCGUGAGGGCAUACGGCCCUAUGGUUUGUACCCCUCUUUUGCCGUGGAGCAAAAAGCGGUACGUGUACCGCAUCGAGAGUACCCGGAGAAAAAGCAUCGGCUAACUCCGUGCCAGCAGCCGCGGUAAUACGGAGGAUCCGAGCGUUAUCCGGAUUUAUUGGGGUAAAAGGGUGCGUAGGCGGCGGGUUAAGUCAGCGGUAAAAUUUCGGGGCUCAACCCCGACAAGCCGUUGAAACUGGCUUGCUAGAGUGGGCGAGAAGUAUGCGGAAUGCGUGGUGUAGCGGUGAAAUGCAUAGAUAUCACACAGAACACCGAUUGCGAAGGCAUCUCACGAAUCCGCGAUUGACGCUGAUGCACGAAAGCGUGGGUAUCAAACAGGAUUAGAUACCCCAGUAGUC
rnacentral:rRNA from 1 species